rnacentral:rRNA from 1 species
AGGGUUUGAUCCUGGCUCAGGAUGAACGCUGGCGGCGUGCCUAAUACAUGCAAGUCGAACGAGGUGCUUUUGUAGCAAUACGAGAGUAUCCUAGUGGCGAACGGGUGAGUAACGCGUUGGUGACCUGCCCCAAAGUGUGGGAUAACAGUCCGAAAGGAUUGCUAAUACCGCAUGUGGUCUCUGGAUCUAGAAACCGGUGACUAAAGGAGUAAUCCGCUUUGGGAGGGACCUGCGUCCCAUCAGCUAGUUGGUGAGGUAACGGCUCACCAAGGCGACGACGGGUAGGGGACCUGAGAGGGUGGCCCCCCACAAUGGAACUGAAACACGGUCCAUACACCUACGGGUGGCAGCAGUAGGGAAUAUUGCUCAAUGGGCGAAAGCCUGAAGCAGCAACGCCGCGUGUGCGAUGAAGGUCUUCGGAUCGUAAAGCACUUUUCUACGAGAUGAGAAAGGACAGUAUCGUAGGAAUAAGUCUCGGCUAACUACGUGCCAGCAGCCGCGGUAACACGUAGGAGGCGAGCGUUAUCCGGAUUCACUGGGCGUAAAGCGCGUGCAGGCGGUUUGGUAAGUUGGAUGUGAAAGCUCCCGGCUCAACUGGGAGAGGUCGUUCAAUACUACCGAACUAGAGAGUAGAAGAGGAAGAUGGAAUUCCCGGUGUAGUGGUGAAAUGCGUAGAUAUCGGGAGGAACACCAGUGGCGAAGGCGAUCUUCUGGUCUAUUUCUGACGCUCAGACGCGACAGCUAGGGUAGUAAACGGGAUUAGAGACCCCGGUAAUCCUAGCCGUAAACGAUGUGAACUUGGCGUCGGUGGCUUAAACACCAUCGGUGCCGAAGCAAACGCGAUAAGUUCACCGCCUGGGGACUACGGCCGCAAGG